CUUUUCGAGGUAGGAGUCGACUCCUGUGAGGUAUGGUGCUGGGUGCAGAUGCAGUGUGGCUCUGGAUAGCACCUUAUGGACAGUUGUGUCCCCAAGGAAGGAUGAGAAUAGCUACUGAAGUCCUAAAGAGCAAGCCUAACUCAAGCCAUUGGCACACAGGCAUUAGACAGAAAGCUGGAAGUUGAAAUGGUGGAGUCCAACUUGCCUGGACCAGCUUAAUGGUUCUGCUCCUGGUAACGUUUUUAUCCAUGGAUGACUUGCUUGGGUAAGGACAUGAAGACAGUUCCUGUCAUACCUUUUAAAGGUAUGGAGAGUCGGCUUGACUACACUGUGUGGAGCAAGUUUUAAAGAAGCAAAGGACUCAGAAUUCAUGAUUGAAGAAAUGCAGGCAGACCUGUUAUCCUAAACUAGGGUUUUUAAUGACCACAACAAGCAAGCAUGCAGCUUACUGCUUGAAAGACAGGGUCUUGCCUCACCCAAGCUAGAGUGCAGUGGCCUUUGAAGCUUACUACAGCCUCAAACUUCUGGGCUCAAGUGAUCCUCAGCCUCCCAGUGGUCUUUGUAGACUGCCUGAUGGAGUCUCAUGGCACAAGAAGAUUAAAACAGUGUCUCCAAUUUUAAUAAAUUUUUGCAAUCCA
rnacentral:lncRNA from 1 species